rnacentral:rRNA from 1 species
UACGGAGGAUGCAAGCGUUAUCCGGAUUCAUUGGGUUUAAAGGGUGCGUAGGCGGAAUAAUAAGUCAGUGGUGAAAGCCUGCGGCUUAACCGUAGAAUUGCCGUUGAUACUGUUAUUCUUGAGUAUAGUUGAAGUGGGCGGAAUGUGUAAUGUAGCGGUGAAAUGCUUAGAGAUUACACAGAACACCAAUUGCGAAGGCAGCGCGCUAAACUGUUACUGACGAUGAGGCGCGAAAGAGUGGGGAGCAAACAGG